rnacentral:rRNA from 1 species
UACUUCUGCCACCACGUUGAACACACCAGUUCUCGUCCGAUCACUGAAGUUAAGCAACGUCGGGCCCGGUUAGUACUUGGAUGGUGACCGCCUGGGAACCCCGGGUGCUGUUGGUA